rnacentral:rRNA from 1 species
GACGAACGCUGGCGGCGUGCUUAACACAUGCAAGUCGAACGGAAAGGCCCUGCUUUUGUGGGGUGCUCGAGUGGCGAACGGGUGAGUAACACGUGAGUAACCUGCCCUUGACUUUGGGAUAACUUCAGGAAACUGGGGCUAAUACCGGAUAGGAGCUCCUGCUGCAUGGUGGGGGUUGGAAAGUUUCGGCGGUUGGGGAUGGACUCGCGGCUCAUCAGCUUGUUGGUUGGGUAGUGGCUUACCAAGGCUUUGACGGGUAGCCGGCCUGAGAGGGUGACCGGCCCCAUUGGGACUGAGAUACGGCCCAGACUCCUACGGGAGGCAACGGUGGGGAAUAUUGCACAAUGGGCGGAAGCCUAAUGCAGCAACGCCGCGCGCGGGAUGACGGGCUGCGGUUUGUGAACCGCUUUCGCCUGUGACGAGGCGUGAGUGACGGUAAUGGGUAAAGAAGCACCGGCUAACUACGUG